rnacentral:rRNA from 1 species
UACGUAGGGUGCAAGCGUUGUCCGGAAUUAUUGGGCGUAAAGGGCUCGUAGGCGGUCCAUCACGUCGGGGAGUGAAAAGCUGGGGCUUAACCCCAGUCCUGCUUCCGAUACGGGUGGACUAGAGGUAGGCAGGGGAGAACGGAAUUCCUGGUGUAGCGGUGAAAUGCGCAGAUAUCAGGAGGAACACCGAUGGCGAAGGCAGGUCUCUGGGCCAUUACUGACACUGAGAAGCGAAAGCAUGGGGAGCGAACAGG